AAAGUAAAACAUGUCCUUUCUGCAAGAUUUUUAGAAAAGCAGGAAUCUGCUGCUUUCAUUAUUUGGGGCAAGACUGAGACACGUUAACAGGUUUCAGCAGACACUAGAUGACUUCAACAGCAUGCUUACAUAGAGCACCAAUUCAGCUCUCAUUGUAUGCAUAUCCACACUCUGCAAAUAGUGCCACUUUUGGAAGCUCUUUUUCCCCCCCAAAUUCGUUACAGGAAUAGAAGAAACCUGAAAUACUGUCUCAGGAAGAGAAAUCAAAGCAUAGCUUCACGUGUUCCCAGUAGGAAAGUCAGUUUAACAAGCAACUACAUUCCCCAGCCAAAUUAGAGUUGAAACAAUACUCUCAUACCAGUUUGUCACCCCGUUCUGCUUCAUGCAAGGAAGAAACUGCUGUCCUCUAAUAAAAGAUGCCUUUCAUGGAUUCAGUAUAGUUAGAACUUGCUAAGAAGACAUGUGUUUUGUUCUGGAAAUCAACAGAACACAGCUUAUAACAGUGGCUCUGUUUGCAGUGCAGCUGUACUAGCAGUACACCACACAGAACUGCAGUUCCAGACAGGGAAAAAAAGAAAACAACCCACAUCCCUGAAAAUACAAACCUCCUGUGAGUGGUGCAGGCUUGCAACUAAUUGACAGCUUAGAUGUGCUAACACAGUGCCAGCUGGUCAGCUACUUCCCAAGCAGGCAGGGAAUUCACUACCUGUAAUAACAGCCAGCAAACAAAACACAGAAAUAGAAAGUAAGUUUUAAAAGAAGGCUUAAAAGUAGGAAAGAGUUCGGAUGCAAUCACCAACUAAGCUGUAAAUUUUUUGCUAACAGCACCUGUUUGUAGCUAAUAACAUUUAAAUCAGAAGACUGAGGGCAUUAAUGCCUUCAAAAAUAAUCAAUACUGAUGAACUGCAGUCUUGUUGGCUGGGGCUGAAAAUUAACUGGAAGUGACUGAAUUAAUUUAGACAAGCCAAAGCCCUAGAAGAAAGAACAUAACUACUGCCCUCACAAGUUUUCUUUUGCUGAACAUUCCUGUUUGCAGAAGUAGUUCUGCUUCCUUGUGCAUGGCUGUAUGCUAAUAGUGGCACACACACUGCUUUCAGCAGGCUGCGUCUCUGCCCACAUUCAGCUGGGUGAUGCUGUUCUACAAUCUGCACCUCUGGCAAUUCAUGAUUUUAAUUAACAGCUUAUCAGCACUGACAAGCUUGAAAGUGACAGCUAUGCUGGUGGGCAGGCCAUGUCCAAAGACUCAGCAUCAGAACAGUAUUUUCUUUCCCUACAAACAGGGAAAUAUGCACCUUAUUAAAAUCCAGUGUGAGCAAGCCAGUUAUCAGUGUCUUAAAAAGCCUGUAUAUAUGAAAACAUGGCUCUAAUCUCUAUACUUUUCCUUCCAUACUCUUUAAACAUAGCUGUUUCUGCAAGUAUUAUAAGGGAAAAAAGCCUUCCAAGAUACCAGCAACAGGUAGCAUAAGCAAGGACUCUACAGAUUGCCCAUCAGAAAUCACUCAGAACAUUAGUUUUAAAACAAGACAACAGAAAACCCACUGCUCUGAAUCUCCUAACACAAGUACUGAGAAAAUAAUGCAACUGAAGUUGCUUUUUCAACAAAAAAACAACUCAUUUUAGUUCUCCAAUUGGCAUCAGUGAACACCUUAGAUAGGAACAGCAUUAGACAGCCAUUCAGUCUACAUGCACACCUGAGCUGGUAUCACAGGUUUCCUGCAGGAUAACAGUAGUGCUGGACUGCUGCUUUCCAGCAGCACACCGAGGAACAGAAGAUCAGCACCCACUUCCCUAGUAUGGUUGUAACAACCUCACUGUUGUCAUCAAAGGAAAUUCGUGGUCAUGACAAGUAAUACAGGAAGUUAAACAGAUCUGUAAUUAGACCCUUUGCUAGGCAAACUUUUAUAUUCAGAUACUUUAACAGCACAUGACAAGUAUGCAAAAACUGGCUUUAAAAUCCAGUGUUUGAUCAACUUGAGCAACAGGCACCCUUCCACAGCUGUUCUCAUAACAGAAAAAUAAAAAUAAAUCUCUGAAUACAACUCAUUAUGCCCAACCAUGAGAAUACCAUAUCAAUCUUUAAUUAAAAAAAAGAAUGUUUUAUGUCUGGAAUUAAAAGAUGGCACAGCAAAUACCAAAACAUCUCCCCUGGGCUAACACAGGCUAGAUUGAGAGCAGCAGUUCUAUCAGCUGAGAGCUAAAACUUCUCUUGCAUGAGGCUGCUAAUAACAGUUCAGUUGGUGCACUGCUAGUUCCUGCACGUGUCUUAAAGCACACAGAACUGUAGUUAGGAACUGCAGUUGGACUGGAUGUCAUCUAUCCAGUAAGAAGGGGACUGCUCCUCCCUGGAGGUCUCCCAAGAGCUCCAUCAAGAGCUACUCAGACAAGCUAAGCACGCAUCAUCAUUUCACUCGUGUUAGUGGAAGAAGCAACUACAGAGUGAGCACUACUGUCAUGUGCAGAGCUAACAGAAAACCUGGUUCUCCUCAAUAUAAGUAUUCUGGAUGUGACUCUGGGCAGCCUGGUCUGGUGGCUGGCAACCCUGCACGUAGCAGGGGGUUGAAAGUAGAUGAGAAUUGUGGUCUUUUUCAACACGGGCCUUUCUGUGACUAUGAAACAUCCAUGCAUUACUUCACUGCUGCAAAACACACCCAUACCUGCUUUACAAAGCUACUAGUAAAAUUCAGGGAAUAAAAUGCACUAAUUCAGGUUUCAUAGGGGUUGCUACACUUUCUCUAGCAACACUCCAGGAAGUGUCAGAAGCAGCAUGCACAGUUAUGUUUGAAUAACAGCAUCCAUUUUCCUGAACACAAAGACUGGAAUAUGAUGACAGUACUGGGGGAAGUGAGAAGUAAGCAUUGUUUUUAAAUAUACACUUUUUAUAGCUACCUCUGUUUGUACAUAAAUAAAAUACAGAGAAAUUUACUGCUGAGAGUCAGCAGUAAAGCACUGAUUAAGAAAGAAGGUUUAACCUUUCAUUUUUAUAAUCUUGCUGUUACUGACCAAGCUUUCUGUUGCCAGCUUCACAGUUCUUGGGUUUUGUUGUGUUUUUUUCUCUCCCUUUAUACUGGGGUACUAAAGACUUCACAACCACCUGACACCCUGCUAUGAGCACACUGCAAAGAGUGAGAUAGUAAAGUUCCAUGGCAAGCACACACCUGAUAUUCAUCUAUAUAGAAACAGCAGUUCCAUGCAGACAGAUUCUGCAUGCAGAUGUUUGCUCAGCCACUACUGGAAAUAUACUGCAUGUUUACUGACAGAACAUAAACAGCAAGGGGAAGAAUAUCAGAAGAGGCCAAAAUAAACACUAGAAACAGGAAAUAAAAGAAGCAUGAAGUCUCCUGAACUACUGAAGUCUGACAAACUAACACAGUAUUUUAUUACACACAGAGCUCCAUGUUAAAACAAGAAGUGCAAUUUUUAAAUAUUCAGUAAUAAGUUAUGAGACAAACUGAAAUGUUAGUUUUGCAAAGAUGACAAAGUAGCUCAUGACAGAGCAGCUCCCAGCAGGAAAUUCUGCUGCUCAUUUUUUCCACUCAUGACAAACUUUUCCCUCUAAAAGAUCACAUUCUGAAGGAAGAAGCACAACUGCAAGGAUCCGAUAUAGACAAGCUACAUUUAAUGCCCAGAGAAAUUUAACACUGACAUGCAGUGUUUCAGUACCAGAGUGUAACCCCGAGUUCUGAAGUUCACAUUUCAAUGAAAAGUUAUUUUAAACCAAAAUUAGAAGUAGUGCUCGGCUUGCCAAGAGUACAGCUUUUUCAUUCCAUUACAGCAAACAUCAUGCCCAAGUUGUAUGUGAAUGUUUACGCUACUUGGUGUGCUGCUUAGCUUGACAUUCUUAGGUACUUUAAAUGCCAUAAAAGAACAAGUCACCUCUCCUGCUGACUUACUAUGCAGAAAAAAAAGUAAUCCUUUUGCUCAUAGUAGUUAGAUGAGUGAUGUGCCAAGAACAUCCUGUGUCAAGAACAGCUACGCCCAGAUGGACAGAAUUUUUCUGCUAGAAAUCAGAAACAAGACUGAUUAGUUUUGUCAAGAACUCUUAUUUAUUGAGUGGAACUCUAUUUUACACAGAGGUGCAAAGCGCGCCUCCAAAAUCAUAGAAUGAUCCAACUAUUACAUCCCACAGAGAUACCGUAACUUGACAUUCAAAGCAAGCUUUCCGAAGUUCUGAAGAGGAGCUAUGAGAUAUAGUUUAGUGGCUUGUGGUAGCAAGGACAAUGGGAGGACCGCUGGACUAGAUGAUCUUGUAGGUCCUUUCCAACCUUUUGAUUCUAUGAUUUUUAAGAAUUAUUAACUUACUCUGCUAACUUUAAUGUACUCUAAACAAUUUCUUCUUCAGUUCAUCCACUGCAUCAACUACAACGCAGAAGUUACAUCAGCAUUCAAACAAGCACCCCAAACCUUUAUAUAUACACACACACACACUAUUACACAUCCUUGUAUUUACAGUGGAGAUCCAAAGGCCAGAAUGCCACAGCUGUGUUCACUUCCAAACGUGUUAGAAGUAUCCUGUAGUUGAUAGUAAGCAUUACUGGCAUGCAUUAAUCUUACUACAGCUUAUCUAUGCUAUUACCUCCAUAAAAUCCCUACUGCCAUCCCUUUGCACUUCCUAGAACAUCAAGUUUAACCAAAACAAACACAGGUUUGAAGCGAGGUUUAACUUACAAACCCAGGUAGCUCCUUAUUGCUUUUGAAAACUUCAAAACCGCAUCCACAGGUCCUUUCAACGCAAAGAUAAACAAAUGAAAAAUACAUUUCGCAGCUGAAAACGAGCUGCUGAAAUCAAGCUCUCGUUAUUUCGAGAAAAAACAAGGAAGCCGCACAGAGCUUAAUUAAGGUUUAGGUACGAAGCCAAGCAGCAGAACCACAGCUGAAGCCCUCAGAUGGCUUCAAAGCAGCAUCAGCGCUGCCUGCGAGCAGUGAGCGCCUCCGAGCCCGCCGAACAGCGCGGCUCCACAGCAGGGCCGGGGCCUCUCCGCCUCCCAUUGCGAGCUGACAGACCGAGCGACUCCCAGCAGUCCCUACCUGACGCCCAACGAGCCGCCUCAGCGCCUUCCCGGCCCGAGCGGUUCCGCCGAGCUCCGCCAGAGGGACCCUCCGUCACCGCUUCACUUCCGGGGCCGGCCGGGCGCGCUCCGCCAUCGCGGCCGAGCGGGAGCGACCGUCACCGCCAUCACUCGAAGGGCCGUGAAGGCGAAACGUCGCGCUGUCUCUCCGGAGCGCUGCAAAGGGCUCGCCGCCGGGCUUGCCGCCUCAGCGAGGGUCCGGAGCUCGGCCCCGCGGCUCCCCGCCACCGCCCCGCGGGAGAAGCGCUGACCACUCCCGCCGCCUCCCCGCCGCGGCCUAAAAUGGGAAAGCGCCUCACACAAAAUGGCGCCGGGAGGCUGACCGCCGCGCAUGCGCGUCGCGCGCCCCGGCCCGCCGCCGCCGCAGGACGCCAUCUCCGCCCGCGCCCCCUCUCCGCUCUUCCCCUCGUCCCCGCCCCUCCGCGUUUCUAAGAGACGGUUAGCGCCAAUCGCGACGCGCCGUUGCUCUUCCUGACCCCCGAGCUAGGCCAAUCGACGCGCUCGCAGCUACAUCCGGAUCCAGCUCUCGCCAAUCAGAGGCUCGGGAGCACUGACUUCACUUCAACCGCCGCCAAUCGACAGGCGCUCCGGCGAAAAGCCAAUGAAAAGUCUCCGUGGCUCUACCUGCGUCUAUGUCUGACCAAUAGGUUCCUCCUGGCUCUUGGCGACCAAUGGGGGUGCUGUCCGCGGCGCCCAAUCCGGGCGGGGCAGAGCCCCCGGGGCGUCACGAGGGGGCCAAUGAGAGUUCGAGGAGGACCGAUUCUGCUCAACAGCUUGUUAUUGGGCUCGUCGCUGGCGAUCCGCUGUGAGUCCGGGCUGAGAGGAGGGGGCGGAGCGGGGCCGCGCUCAGCGCCGCCGCUCGCGGGGCUGUCGUCGUCGCGGAGGGGGGCUGCGGCGCCGAGCCGAGCCGGGCGCUGCCCACUUCGCUGCGACUUUCCAGCGUUUCCCUGUCUGGCGAGGAGAAGGCUCGGAGCUGGAAUCCUUCACAUAACCGGGGAAAAUGAAGGCAGCAGAUGAGCCUGCCUACCUGACAGUGGGAACGGAUGUCAGUGCCAAGUACCGCGGUGCCUUCUGCGAGGCAAAGAUUAAGACAGUGAAAAGGCUUGUGAAAGUCAAGGUGGUUCUGAAGGGGGAUAACUCGACUCAGUUAGUUCAAGAUGAUCAAGUGAAAGGACCUCUAAGAGUUGGUGCAAUGGUUGAAACCAAAAUGCCUGAUGGAUCCUUUCAAGAAGCUGUUAUCAGCAAGUUAACAGAUGCUAGUUGGUAUACUGUAGUUUUCGAUGACGGUGAUGAAAGGACCUUGAGACGAACUUCAUUAUGCUUGAAGGGAGAAAGGCACUUUGCAGAAAGUGAGACACUUGAUCAGCUGCCACUAACCAACCCAGAGCACUUUGGAACUCCAGUUAUUGGGAAGAAAUCUAAUAGAGGAAGGAGAUCAUCUCUUCCUGUAACUGAAGAUGAAAAGGAAGAAGAAAGUAGUGAAGAAGAGGAUGAAGAUAAAAGGCGUCUCAAUGAUGAACUGCUUGGCAAAGUUGUGAGUGUGACUUGUAAUUCUGAGAAGGCAGACUGGUAUCCAGCUUUGGUUGUUUCUCCCAGCUGUAAUGAUGACGUCACAGUGAAAAAGGACCAGUGUUUAGUCCGAUCUUUUGCAGAUUCCAAAUUUUACUCAGUAGCAAGAAAAGACAUUAAAGAAGUAGAUGCUCUAAACUUACCAAAAUCAGAGUCCUCCCCUAAAAAAGGGCUUCAGGAAGCAAGCACGUUUCUCAGCACAAAGGUGGUUCCUCGGAACUGGAAGAUGGACAUAAGUGAAAUUAUGGAAUCCUCCAGCAGUGAUGAAGAAGAUGGAGCUGCUGCAGAAACCGAUGAAGAGGAAAUAAAAAGAGAAGAGAAAAAUGAAGAAGUACAGCCCGAGGAAGAGCUUGAUCCUGAAGAGAGGGACAACUUCCUCCAACAGCUCUAUAAGUUUAUGGAAGACAGAGGUACUCCUAUCAAUAAACCACCUGUUCUGGGCUACAAGGACCUUAAUCUCUUCAAACUGUUUAGACUGGUAUAUCAGCAGGGUGGGUGUGACAAUAUUGAGAGCGGUGCUGUUUGGAAGCAAAUUUAUAUGGACCUUGGCAUUCCUAUUUUGAACUCGGCUGCUUCUUACAAUGUAAAAACUGCUUACAGAAAGUAUCUUUAUGGUUUUGAAGAGUACUGCCGUUCUGCAAACAUUCAGUUUAGGACCAUUCAUCACAAUGAACCAAAAGUGGUAGAAGACGUUCAGAAACACGAGGAACCAAUGGAGGAGAGUGUGAAAGAGGAGCAAAAAAUGCCUCCAACAGAAGUAAAAAAAGAAGCAGAAGAAAAUUAUUCCAGCAGCGAGAGCGAAAAAGAAGAAAUAGAACUAAGAUCCCCAAGGGGACGAAGACGGCUUGCCCGUGACACAACCCCUGCUAAAAAAGAUAGUGAAGAUGAUAAAACACAAGACAAAUUAAAAGACAACAACAAGGAAAACAAAGAUAUAGAGGAAACCCUUGAGAAUGCAGAAAAGAAAGAAAAUGAAACUCUGCUAGGAAGAAAAAGUACGCCAAAGCAAAAAGAGAAGAAGAUUAAAAAACAGGAGGACUCUGAUAAAGAGUCAGAUGAAGAUGAGGAGAGGCAGAGGGAGAGGGAGGAGAUUGAGAACAAAGGAGAAUCAGAAGGUGAAGAGGAUGAGGAGGAUACAGAACCUUGCCUGACUGGAACCAAAGUGAAAGUAAAAUACGGACGUGGAAAGACUCAGAAAAUUUAUGAAGCCAGCAUUAAAAGCACUGAGACUGAUGAUGGAGAGGUUUUAUAUUUAGUGCAUUACUAUGGUUGGAAUGUAAGGUAUGAUGAAUGGGUGAAAGCUGAUCGCAUUAUCUGGCCUGUGGACAAAGGAGGACCAAAGAGAAAACAGAAGAAAAAAACAAAAAAUAAAGAAGACAGUGAAAAGGAUGAGAAGAAAGAUGAGGAGAAACAGAAAUCAAAGCGUGGGCGACCUCCUCUGAAAUCCACUCUUCCAUCAAACACAUCUUUAUCCAAAACACCUAAUAGUGAAGGUAAAUCAGGAGCCAGAAGUGCACGGAACAACUUGUCAGAUUCCUCACCUUUGCCAAAUGGAACAGAAGCAACACCUCGCAGGCAGACAAGACGUAGCUCAGGAAUGUUUGAUUCUGAUAGAGGAUCAAACGACUCUGCUUCGUCUGACAGUGAGGCAGAUGAGUCACCUGAGAAGAACAUGAAUGAGGAGUUUUCUCCAGAAACUUCAGAACUGGAAAAAAAUGAAAAACAAAAUGAUGAGAAGCUAGACGAGGAAAGCCCAAAGAUUCCUCAUGCACUGAGAGAAAAUGACAGGACUCAAGUGCAGCCAUUAGAAAUCCUGAAACUGGAAGUUGAAGAAAGUGAACAAAUAGUGCAGGUUUUUGGGAAUAAAACAGAGCAAAUGGAGGAAGUCAAGAGGGAAGCUGAAAAAUCACCUAAAGGAAAAGGGAGAAGGAGCAAGACAAAAGAUCUCUGCUUAGAGAAUGCAAAGGUUUCUCCAGGAAAUCAAGAAGAGGUGGCUAAUGAGUCUCUUACAGAAAGUGAAAGAUUAGACAUGUCUUCCUUGGACUGUAAAGAGUUUUCCAGCACUACUGAAACUGAAACAGAACCUUCCACAAAAGAUAAGAAGCUUUUGAAAAGGAAGACUUCGGAGCAGGCUUCACCUGAGAAAAGAAGUCGACGAGAGAGUGAGAUGGAAGUCCCAAAUAUUGUAUCUGAAGAGAGGACCAAUGAAUGUACUGGGUCAGAGGAAUGUAGAGGGUUGAAUGCUGAAGAGUCACUCAGAACUGAAAAUGAAGAAAUGCCAUCCCUCGUGGCAGAAUCAGUGCAGCCCGGGCAAGAAGUGAGGAGCGAGAACUUUCAGUGUCCAUCUGAAGAGAAUGAUAACGUUCCCUUGAAAGAUGAGGAUGACACAAUGCCUCACAUUGGUCCUGAAACUUUGCUCUGUCAUGAAGUAGACUUGGAUGACUUGGACGAAAAGGAGAAGAGCAGUAGUGAAGAUACAAUAUCAGAAAAGCCAAAUCCCAAUACUUCAAAUCCAGCUGCCUUACCCGCUGCUGUCCAGUCAAGCUUCUCAGUGGCCUCACCUCUGACACUUAGUCAAGAUGAGUCCCGCAGCAUCAAGAGUGAAAGUGACAUGACAAUUGAAGUGGACAGCGUGGCAGAAGAAUCUCAAGAAGGGCUCUGUGAGAGUGAGUCUGCUAAUGGAUUUGAAGCCAGCACUACGUCCAGCAAUUGUAGUAUAGUGGUGCCAGAAAGAGACGUUGGAGAGAAGGGUCAAAAAAGGCCCAGUGAUAGCAAUAGUGGAACACUGGCAAAAAAACAAAAGCGUACUCCAAAGCGAACAAGUGCUGCAGCCAAAAAUGAAAAGAAUGGAACAGGACAAAGCAGUGACAGUGAAGACCUCCCUGUCCUGGACAGUUCCAGUAAAUGUACUCCUGUAAAACACUUAAACUCAUCAAAACCACAGAAGAUUUCUCGAUCACCUGCAAGAGUGAUUUCACCUCACAUCAAAGAUGGAGAAAAGGAUAAACACAGAGAGAAACACCACCACCAGAAUUCUUCACCUAGAGUAUACAAAUGGAGUUUUCAGCUCAAUGAACUGGACAACAUGAGCAGCACUGAAAGGAUCUCCUUCUUACAAGAAAAGCUGCAGGAAAUCCGAAAGUACUACAUGUCUCUGAAGUCAGAAGUAGCCACCAUAGACAGGAGAAGAAAGCGGUUAAAAAAGAAAGACAGAGAAGUGUCUCAUGCAGGAGCAUCCAUGUCAUCUGCUUCAUCAGACACUGGAAUGAGUCCAUCGUCGUCCUCCCCUCCACAAAACGUGCUUGCUGUAGAAUGCAGGUGAUACACAUUGCUCUGCCUUGCCAGCAGCUUGCUGCCAUGGACUUCAAUCCUGACAUUCAGCCACAGAAAGCACUCGACUGGUUUGACAUUGCCAAGUAUAUCCUGUACACACUUCCACUGCUGGACUGUAUCUGUUCUCCCCUCCUACCCUCUAUUUUGUUGUUGUUGUUUUGUUCUGUUUUUAAGUUACCGUUCGGAGAAAUUAAGCUCAUUGAAGGUUUGUAGGCACAACGUGACAUGCUUGUCAUUGUGUUUGUUUCUGUUUUGUUUUUGUUAAUGCAGAGCAAGGGCACUUAUCAAAUUUGAAAAGUUAUGUCCAAUGAAGCAUUCAGGUGUUCUCGGGUAAUCUUAAAAAAGCAAGUGCACCAGGUAGAGACAUCAGAGUAUUAUCCAAAUGAACUGAGUAACUGCUGCACUUUCACCGAGCCGUGGUAACUCUCGUUCUGGCUCUCACAGGAGGAUUUACCCGUGCCUGCAUUGAAAUGGGUCCGGCUCUGUGUCCUCCACAACGCAGAUCUGUAAGCGGGCAUCUGGAUUCAACUCUGACUUUGGUUGGAAAACUUUGGCAGUCCUACUCACCUUGUUUGGAGGAACGGAAUCUGUUGGGUUGCCCUUAAGAUACUUUGUCGCGAGUUCUUAUGUUUGCUAUGCUGCCGAAUGAAUUUCUAUCUCCCAAAGUUGAGAUGCAACCAUAAGGCGUGCACACGCUCAGCAUGCAUAAGGCAAUGGAUGGGCUCUCAACUGUCUGUAUUUCAGCACAGAGGUUCACUUACAGCUUCUCCUCAUCUCUUAAGAAUGUUUACCUGCUUACAUCAGCCCAGAGCCUGUACAGCAAUUCAUGUGACUGUCCCUGCAGAGAGCUGCACGGCCAGGAGAGGUGGAUGACUUUGUGCCAAGCCUGGAGCACAUCACUGCCUUCCUGCUUCUGUCUCUGGCAGGAAGUACAGCAGGUAGCUGAGAUUAUUCGGUGGAUGUUUCAAGGAAUAUUUUUAAAUGCCAUUAGAAACUAUAGUGAAAAGAGCAUUAUAUAAUGUGGAACUACGCUGCUGUAAAAUUGAAAUCGACAGAAAAACCCUCCAAGGUCUUUUAUUUCUAACUUCAUAAUCCCCUCAUUUCUGUUUUGUUGCCAUAAAGCAAACUCCAGAGUGCCUUUUCAGUGCCUUCAAUGGUGAAUGUAUUGAACUGGGAUUUUUUUUUUUUUAAGAGAUGUUUGCAGGAGCAGUGAAAACCAAAGCACCCGCUUGGCAGACCUCCCUGUUCUUCUCCUGCCUCCUGAUCUCCUCCAGGUUGUGUCAAGUUGAGAAGCAUGACUUCCAGCUUAGUCGGCAGGUGAAAUAAAUUGCAGGGGAUGAUGGAAUCAAACACUCUUAGAACUGUUAGAAAGAGCUGGGCUCUAGGAAAAUUCAGACCCUCCCCUGCCACCUACUGUUGAUAGAAGAGCUGGCAGAUUACUUCAGGUCGUGUGUUAGCAGGUCAUCUCAAAACUAGAAAGCAACAUAAAAUUUGCGUGCAAGGACAGAUGGUAAGAAAAUGUUUGUAUCCUUCUUUUAACUUACAGUUGCUUUUUGUGAACGUCUGUAUCAGCUAUGUGUGUACUGAUGACUUUUUAUUUUUUCUAAGGUGUAAAUUAAGCAACAGGUGGUUUAAUCUGCUCAUUUCUGAUUCCUCCUCGCAUCUGAGAAACCUCUUAAUCAGUGCUUCUGUCUUUCAAAGGUGUUGGGAUAAUAAUAAAGCAUUAUGUCAACAGAAUUUAAAUAGGAUUACAGUAAUAAUUAGAAGCACAACGAGAGCAGGUAAGUUGCAUCUUCCUGAAGCACUGUUUGACUUCCACAGGGAGCAGCACAGACCUUAAAGCUGUAGGAUGGUAGAGAGGAAAAAGUGCAAACUGUGGUAUACUGUGCAAGUUGCUCUCAGAUUGUAAAUUACUUUGAAUACAGUGACAGAUGAAUCUAGGCAGCAGUUUUUGAAGCAGGUUCAAUUGUGGUAAUGGCUACUAGAAUCACACAGGAUGGGUUUGGUGGGGAGGGAGGAAGGAUUCGUGGAUUCUGAGCUCACAUCUCUGCUCAGUCCUGAGAGCACCUCGCUGCAAAUAGCUUUGUCAGCCAGAUGGAAUUUCACUCUGAAAAGUCAGUGUCAAAUUCUUCUAAUAAAAUGUUCUUUUCCCCAUUAAAAAAUGUUCUCUGCUUGUCUGAGGUGGUCAAAUGGGUUUCUGAGCAGCAUUUACUGGAAUUCUUUUACAGCAGAAAGUCUGAGAAAAGCAGUUCUGCUCUUCUUUAAGAGCACGUUUGGUUUGAUCACUUGAAACAAAGCUGACAGGUGAGCUGCAAGAGCAGUUUACAAGCUGCAACAAAAAAAGGACUGUUAACAGAGGUAUGUUGAGCUGUUUAUUUCACAGUGCCCUUUGCAUUUUGCAGAUACUGUGCACUAAAACCUCAGUUAUUUUUAGGUUUCUGUACUUGGAUUUUAUUGUUUGCUGCAGUUUGCAGGAUAAAGGCUACCUCUGGAGAAGGAAGGAACGUGACAGAGCAGCAGAACCAAUGGGGCUGCUGCCAUAGCCUGACUCUGUAAUGUCAGGGCUUAGAAAAAAAGGUUUUUUAUAAUUAGCUCACACUUAACAAGCUAUCACCCUCAGAUUUUGAGAAAAUCUGUCAUUCUGCCAUGUUCUCUUUCUCCAGGUAGGAUGGUUUCUGUCCCUGGGGAGUUUAAAAUCAUUCACCUUCAUUAGUGACUAUCUGAUAACCAUUAUUUAUUAGUGUUUGUUUGGUUUUGGUUUGGGUUGGUGUUUCUGGAAGGGGGGAAUCCGUGAGUUCCACAAGGAUUUAUUAUUCUCAUCCGUUGCUCUGGAGGAAAAUAUAACCUCAGUUUUUCUUUUUUAAAUGUAAUUGGUCUCAAAACAUACUUACUGUAAUGCAGUUUGGUGGUGGAUUUUCUGAUUAGUCACAGCCUGAUGAUGAAUACUCACUGCUUUGUCAUUUAAAGAAAACAGAAAAGGUGGGACACUCUUAACCAUGAAGCAGUUAACCAAUACCUCACCCUUUCUGGCUUCGCUGCCUUCCCUGAAUUCUCAGCCCGAUGUAUGCAGUUAUUCCUGCAGCUCCCAGCGUUCACAGUUACCCCAUGUUUCAGAGCAGGGCUGUGCUGGCUGGUGCUGCUGUAGGUCUGCAGCUCCAGUGGUUUGUAUUGUCUGUUUGGCUUGUACUGACAGCGUUCAAAGGUGAAAAUAUGUCUGUCUCAAUGUUAUGGCAUUUGGCUUUCAUUUAGCAUUAUAGCUCACACGUUAUGACAAAAAACACAGGAGUGUUGUGAACCUUACUUAUUUUCUCUGCAAAACACACUUUGUCAGCACAGCAAAUCAGCACUAGAGGCCCGUUCCAGUUGUGCAAGCCUGCAGGACAUUUAGCAACAGUGCAUUCGCUUGCAUUGAGCCAUGCUCUGAAUAGUUACUGCAUGGUGUUGGCUCCAACUCUGUAUUUCCCAGGUUUUCAGAGUCACCCAGCAGUAUUUCCAUGUAGCUCCAUCAGUUUCUUCAGCUAUUUCUGAACCACUCUGUUGCUAAUCCCUCAUCUGGGUACAGCUUGACCCAAUUUGCCAGCUCUGCUGAUUAUGUAAGGAGGAGCAAGACAAGGCAUUUAUAUGAAAUACAUUGCUUGUGUUAUGCGAGGCUGACUUAUCUUUUUAACAAGCCACUUGUUCACGUGUGCAAAGUCUUACAACCAUUGUUCAUCACACUGCUCGCUCUUUAACCUUUUCCCUUUUCACUUUAUCACCAGGUGGCUGUGCUUCAUCCCAGCUCCUCCUGCUGUCUGCUCCACCCUGAAGUGAGGCCUCAGGUAACUGGCACCACCCCACGUCUCCUGAAGACAAAAAAAAACUGUAAGAAUUUUAUUAUUAUGAUUUUCCUGACACGUUGCCUACAGCACCCUAGGGAGGCCCUGCAGGGCACAGAGCCUCUGUUCUCUGAGGAGAUAAGCGGGCCCUGCUGUGAAAGCAUGGCAGAACGGGUGGCCAACACCCCACUCCUCACUGAUAAGGUGGUUUGGAGUGCACCUUGGGGCUGAGGAGGCUUGAAAUGCAGCAGCAGUGGCUCCUGGUGUGUUGCUGGAGCCCUGGCACACACACAGAUGCAACACAAACUUGGGCAGAAAGAGGGGAUAAAGGCUCCCUAGCUCCACACUCCAGUAAGGGCAGGAUCUGUCAAAUACAGAACUGGAUUUCUGCUUUGAUUAUUUGAAAUCUGUCUAAUCUCCCCUUCACACUCCAUAAACAAAUGUCAGCAGGGAAGCACGCUGCCUUCCUAUGUACAAUUAGUGUGGUUCCCUCAGCACUCCUCUUGCUUUCCACCUGUAGUCAGUUCCAGCUUUCUGAGCUCAGGUAUUAAAGAGUGCAGAGGAGUGUCUCCCUGCACUUAAGUCACAGCCAUGCUCCAUCUCCUGGCAGUAGGCAUUCAGCCUUUUCUUUUCUCUGUCCUUUGCCCCCCAGUUACAAGCCCAAGCACUCAGCAGGACUUACAGAAAUUUGGACCUUGCUCUUAUCCCUGAGAGCAAGGCUUUGGUUUGACCUUUCCUAUUUGAUAUGUGCUGACCAGUAGCUGCAGUAUAGCCUUCUGGUUUAGACACCCAUCUAAAGAGGAAGGAUCUCUGUUCUUGUCUCUGCUUCAGUGAGCAUCACCUCUAAGACAUGGCCAUUCACACACCCAGUGCCACCAACCCAGCUCCAGACAGGCUGCACAGAUAUUGCAUUGAAAUAAAGGAGAAGAUGGCAAAUUUUUUUUCCCCCCUGGAUAACAGUGGGUUAAGGUGGCUUUGAAGCUGGAGUCCAAGGAAACUGGGGAACCUGAAAGUAAUUUAUUAACUAAGUCUCUCUAAUACUUGCCUAACCUUUAGUACAAUAAAUCCAUUUUAACAAAUAUUUACACAUCUCCUUACUCCCCCAAGCCCCAAAAUGUGAGGGGAAAAGAAUGUUUUUUUAAUCCUCUCCAUCCUCAAGGAGCUUGGCCCAGAGGAUGCAAAUGUCCUCCACUCCCAUCACCUAAACUCUUACAGUCACUCUUCUUCUGAGUAACUGUUCUCUUUGCACACUUAAGAUGCAACAGGAAAAUAGGAGCAUUUCAAUGAUACGUUAUCUUUAAACAUUAACAAAAAGACUAUUCUAACUAAAGCCUUUAAUAUCUGAUAUGGAUACGUUACUUCUGAGGGCCAAGAACAUUUGUGGUUCAACUGCAGGAAACAAUCUGGAUGUUACAAGUGUGUUAUUCCUUUGAAAAAAGAAACAAAACAAAACACCAACCAGGACGUUGCAGACUUGCUGCCUUAUUUGGGCUCUUUUUUAGCCUUUGCUAUUUUAGAAUUAGCUCUUAACCAUCUCCAAGGUAACAAGGCAUGGGGGAACGUAGGAUAAAGCAGUGAUGUGGAUACUACAAAACACGUCAACAAGAAAUUAGAGCGUGUUUAUUUCUUCCACCUUUGAAAUCCAUAGAAACAGAUCUCUGUGGGGAGCUGGGGCAGCUUUAAACAGCAGCAAGCAGAGCGGUGCCCAGUGGAAGUAGCAGGAGUACUGGCUGCAGUCAGUGCCCUGUAAUCCACACCCUGGAUACCUGACUGAAGAGUAGUGAAGGAAAGCAAACAAGAAAAACAAAGGACAGGUUUGGUUUUUUUCCUUCUAUCACUGGUGGAAAUCAAAAGCUAUAGGGAAGCCAACAACAAAAAAGCUGGUCUCCUGCCAUUUCUGUUCCUUAUUGCUGCUUUUCUAUCUAACUGCUAUUUCAUGUCAGCUGCCAGUUCUGCUUUAGCCUUCACUGCUUGAUAUUUCAAAAUCUGUAUGGUAAGCCUGACAUGCAGUUCCAUUUGUUCUUGUAUUUUAUUAGGAAGAACUGAAGUCAAAUGUGCAUGUUAGCUAUCAGGGCAUCACAGUGGUUACUGAUGAAAGUGCAUUGUGUUUUUCUCUAUUCUGUAUUUCAGAACACAGCUAUUGGGUAAUGAAAUAGCAGUAAGUUGUCAUUCUGCUGUACUAGCAAUCUGACUGUGGGAUCUCAGCUAUCAAGAUCCUUUCAAAAGAAGCAGUGUUUAUUCCUGAGCCAACAGCACAUAAUCAGAAUGGUUUUCUCAGACUUUGCUCUGCACUCAUUCAGCAGCAAAUAAAAAGGCAUCGCCUUGUAUGUAUCUAUUCACACUUAAUUGUGUGAAUACCAACAGAAAGGAGGAACCUGCCAGCAAGCUCAGUUCUUGGAGCACAUCAUGCUUACAGCCAGCAGCAAAGCCAGUUUUGGAGGACCACUGGGUCCCCCAGAGGGAAACAAGGAGACGUUUCCUCUGGCAAAGGUGCUACUAAUGACACAUUAUUGUCACUUGUGAAUGACGUGGUGAAGCAUAAGGCCAACAUAACCUAGGGAUAAGCUGGCAGGCACCCCUGCCUACCUGAACUCAUUAGCUUCAGCAAAUGACUGCUGCUUACAGUAGCUCUUGGCUUGAUGCUCUAACAGGCUGCAGUCAGCACUCCAGGAUACUCAGAACCAUCUUAAGGCUCUAAGAGAGCAGCUGGCAAUGAAACAAAAGUUCUUCCCAAGUUAAGAGAUGUAAAACGUUCACAAAUCCCUACCUGCUAAAACCACUCCAUUAAUUACUUACCUAUCAAUUAGCAACUUCAAGCAGCAAAGAAUGAAUAA